rnacentral:rRNA from 1 species
AACAAACGCUGGCGGCGUGCCUAACACAUGCAAGUCGUACGAGAAAGGGUCCUUCGGGACCUCAGUAAAGUGGCGCACGGGUGAGUAACGCGUGGAUAAUCUACCCUUCAGUUGGGAAUAACUCAUCGAAAGGUGGGCUAAUACCGAAUAAUACUGUGAUACCUUGGUUGAUCAGUCAAAGAGAGCCUCUGCUUGCAUGCCCUCGCUGAAGGAUGAGUCCGCGUACCAUUAGCUAGUUGGUAGGGUAAUGGCCUACCAAGGCGACGAUGGUUAGCUGGUCUGAGAGGAUGAUCAGCCACACUGGAACUGAGACACGGUCCAGACACCUACGGGUGGCAG